CCCUUGGUAGCUCAGUUGGCAGAGCGGUGGACUGUAGAUCCAUAGGUCGCUGGUUCAAAUCCGGCCCGAGGGA